UGUUACAGAUGCUGUGAACCGCUUGCUUCCACCUAGUGACCAAACUGAUGGUAUUGAUAAAACUACGCUUCCUCAUAUGAGUGAUAUCUUGGUGGCUUACUCUACAUUGGAAGGUGACAUGUCCUUCCGUAAUGAAGCAACAGGUUCUUGGUUCAUCAAUGCGAUUGCAACAGUGUUUUCGAAGAAAGCAAGGACAGAACAUGUAGCUGACAUGCUUACUGAGGU